UACGUAGGGGGCAAGCGUUAUCCGGAUUUACUGGGUGUAAAGGGAGCGUAGACGGCAUGGCAAGUCUGAUGUGAAAACCCGGGGCUCAACCCCGGGAUUGCAUUGGAAACUGUCAAGCUAGAGUGCAGGAGAGGUAAGUGGAAUUCCUAGUGUAGCGGUGAAAUGCGUAGAUAUUAGGAGGAACACCAGUGGCGAAGGCGGCUUACUGGACUGUAACUGACGUUGAGGCUCGAAAGCGUGGGGAGCAAAC
rnacentral:rRNA from 1 species